AGUGAACGCUGGCGGUAGGCCCAACACAUGCAAGUCGAACGGCAGCACAGUAAGAGCUUGCUCUUACGGGUGGCGAGUGGCGGACGGGUGAGGAAUACAUCGGAAUCUACUUUUUCGUGGGGGAUAACGUAGGGAAACUUACGCUAAUACCGCAUACGACCUACGGGUGAAAGCAGGGGAUCUUCGGACCUUGCGCGAUUGAAUGAGCCGAUGUCGGAUUAGCUAGUUGGCGGGGUAAAGGCCCACCAAGGCGACGAUCCGUAGCUGGUCUGAGAGGAUGAUCAGCCACACUGGAACUGAGACACGGUCCAGACUCCUACGGGAGGCAGCAGUGGGGAAUAUUGGACAAAGGGCGCAAGCCUGAUCCAGCCAUACCGCGUGGGUGAAGAAGGCCUUCGGGUUGUAAAGCCCUUUUGUUGGGAAAGAAAGGCAGCAGGUUAAUACCCCGCUGUUCUGACGUUACCCAAAGAAUAAGCACCGGCUAACUUCGUG
rnacentral:rRNA from 1 species